rnacentral:rRNA from 1 species
GAUGAACGCUAGCGGCAGGCCUAAUACAUGCAAGUCGAGGGGUAGAAGAGGCUUGCUUCUUUGAGACCGGCGCACGGGUGCGUAACGCGUAUGCAACCUACCUUCAUCUGGGGGAUAGCCCGGAGAAAUCCGGAUUAAUACCGCAUAAAAUCACAGGAUGGCAUUAUCCAAUGAUCAAACAUUUAUGGGAUGGAGAAGGGCAUGCGUGUCAUUAGCUAGUUGGCGGGGUAACGGCCCACCAAGGCGACGAUGACUAAGAGAUCUGAGAGGAUGGCCCCCCACACUGGUACUGAGACACGGACCAGACUCCUACGGGAGGCAGCAGUAAGGAAUAUUGGUCAAUGGAGGCAACUCUGAACCAGCCAUGCCGCGUGCAGGAAGACUGCCCUAUGGGUUGUAAACUGCUUUUAUUCGGGAAUAAACCUUAUUACGUGUAAUAAGCUGAAUGUACCGAAGGAAUAAGGAUCGGCUAACUCCGUGCCAGCCGCCGCAGUAA